CUGGCUCAGGAUGAGCGCUAGCUACAGGCUUAACACAUGCAAGUCGAGGGGCAGCAUUGGGAUAGCUUGCUAUUCAGAUGGCGACCGGCGCACGGGUGAGUAACGCGUAUCCAACCUUCCUGCCAGUAGGGAACAGCCCGGCGAAAGUCGGAUUAAUGCCCUAUGUUCUUCAAUGCGGACAUCUAAGUUGAAGGAAAGAUUCAUCGCUGGCAGAUGGGGAUGCGUCCGAUUAGCUUGCCGGCGGGGUAACGGCCCACCGGGGCGACGAUCGGUAGGGGUUCUGAGAGGAAGGUCCCCCACACUGGUACUGAGACACGGACCAGACUCCUACGGGAGGCAGCAGUGAGGAAUAUUGGUCAAUGGGCGUAAGCCUGAACCAGCCAAGUAGCGUGCAAGGAUGACGGCCCUACGGGUUGUAAACUGCUUUUAUGCGGGGAUAAAGUGCGGCACGUGUGCCGCUUUGCAGGUACCGCAUGAAUAAGGACCGGCUAAUUCCGUGCCAGCCGCCGC
rnacentral:rRNA from 1 species